GAUAAGAAAUUAAGACUCGGACCGAGAAUAUCCGCGAAAAAGAAGUUAAAUGAAUGAUACGUAUUAUUCGCUAUUAUGAACAAUAAAGUAUCAAUAAAUGCAAAUUUAGAAACUUGGGUAGGGGUAACCAUCCAAGUAAUACAUUAUUAAUCGAACCCUCAUGAGGAAGAACAGUGAUCGCAGUAAUGGAUGUGAUUAUAUAAAAGCCUAGUAAAAUAAACUUUAUGAAAGUGUUAGAAUAAGAACGGGUAAACCCCAAAAGCCGUAUAACCAUGACAGUGGUUUUACCAAAUAAGACUUGAGAAAUGGGCCUUCGGAACAUUAGCAAAAGAAAUAGACCUAAGGGUCGCUAACAACAGAAAGGUGGUGUCGGAAUCAAGUAAGCAAAAUGCUUGAUAAUAAAGGUAAACGGAAGCCGGAUAAUGGGAGCAUAUUACAUUAAGGUAAUAAGCCCAAGGGAAGGGAUAAGAAUCAAGGUAAUUAAAAUUGUAAACUAACAAACAAGAAUGCUAAGGCACAAGGAUGAAAGUUUGACUAUUAUAAGUAAUAAAGUCCAUCAGAACAAGUCAAACAAAAUAAAUGGAAGAAUUAAGGAAUCGGUGAAAUAAAGGCGACAGGUUACGCUAAUACCACCGAAUAAAUCAAAACGAAAUUUUAAUGCAUGUCAGAAUGAUGACUCUAAUAAUGACUUCGGUAAAAUAACCGAUAGAUGGGUAGGACUACGGAUAUAUGCGUAAACCAAGAGACGGUGACCCAGAUUAAAAGUCAAAAGACUCGGAUUAAGAGCUAUAACUAAGAGACGAUGAAAUUUCGCAAAACAAAAAUUUCGAUAGUUAUGUCCAACUAUUUUAAUAUUGGACGGGCCGAAUAAAGUAUAAUACUUGAUAUUCCAAGUAAGCGCAACCCUAAUAAUGAAAGUGCGAAAUAUUACUGAACCGAUGUGAUAGGUCGUAAAAGAAUAUGGAAAGGAAAACGCAAACCAAUAAAAUCGGGGUGUUAAAAACAUUAAGAUAACGAACCCGGUAAUGGGUUGAAAGGAAAUAGGGCCAUAAACCAAAUAACGGUAUGAGUAAAAUAAACCAACGCGAAGGUGACAUAAGAAGUCAUAGAGUCGGAAAGAUAAUCCGAAAGAAAAUGAGUAUAGCUUUAGACCACGGUCAAGGUCAAAUAAAUUUUUGAAAGCAAAAAUUUAUUUAUUCUAAACAUAAAAAGGGGGUGCCUUAACGCCAUAUGUAUACUUAUAUCAUUAAAUAAAGAUAUGAAAAGAAGAUGAUCCAUGAGAUCACCGUAACCUUCAGGUUAUAAACAAUGUAAAGGUCUACGGGACCAAAAUGACCUUCGGGUCACAAAUACAACGGAACAAACUAUAGGGUCUCACCCUAAAAAAAAGGGUGAAGACCUAAUAAAAUAGCCUACAAAGCUAAGUAAAGGAACCUGCAGGUCGAUAAUGUAUAGCAUGGGAACCAGUCAUGAGUUCCCACGUAAAAUGAUAACGGAGAAGAAUAAUUCUUGUUGUCAAUUUCUGAUAUGAUUAAACGACAUGGUUAAAGGGAAAAGCAUUAAACUAAAAUUCAGUUUUAGUAAAGAAACGAUGUUCUAACACCUAUAAAUACCGAGAGAGAGAAAUUAGAAAAAGGGUUAAUACUAAAGGAUAUAGGUAUUAACGCCGAUAGGUGUAAGAAGAUGUAUUCAAAGGAAGAUUCAUAAUAAUGAAAAGCUGACAUAAACCUAAACAUGACGUGAUGUAAUCACGGACACAAAAGGAAUACAAAAUACAGCCACGUUAUAAUACGAGUUAUUAGAUGUGAAAAUAUAAACACGCAAAAUGCAGACGACGGCAUUAUAGUAUACCCAAAUAACGAGGUAUAUGGUAAAAUGCACUUGUCAAUGUAAGGUUAGCGUGAAGUAAGUAUGCUGACGGACUCAGUGACUGGAUGGUCUAAAGACAACCCGGUCAAAUAGGCGACAAGGAUAGGAAAUAGAUGAUAAAAGGUUACGGUCCAAAAGGACAUAUGCCUAAAAGACAAACAUGUAAAUACGAAUAAAAACCUUAUGCUGGACAAGACGGAAU
rnacentral:lncRNA from 1 species